AAGUGUCUAAACAUCUAUUUAUACCCACUUGAGCUCCCACGGCAUGCACCACCCACUCCGUCCCAGCUAACCAAUCAGAGCAUAGAAAGAAAGCGCGCAGACUUCCUCAUCGGGCGGGAAGUUCCAGCAGGCUACGAUUCUGAUUGGUGGAUUCCUGCGCCAUAGUCGGGUCAGUUUCACACAGCCGGAGUUAAUGAUGUCAUCAGUGUCAUCAGCUCUUAAGCACCUGGACUCCAGCAAUAUGUGCCAGAGUGACUCAUCUUGCACCUUUUGAUUGUCACCCACACUUGCCCAAACAAAGAACACUGAUGAGAGAAAUGUGAUGUGCAGUCUGUUGAAACAAUGCUGUCAACAAAGAAUUUCCUCAGUCAAAUAAAGUUUUAACUCUUGAAAG